rnacentral:lncRNA from 1 species
CAGAGGACCCGGGGGGUCCCUCCUUUAGUACGCGGGUCAGAGGACAGCGGGGUCUCCCUCCUUUUCACUCUUUUGGGGAGCUGGAGAGGAUUUCCCACCCUUCCCGCCUCCCCGCGGUGGGCACCGGUUUGCCGUCCAGCCCUUCUUCCCCUCAGCGUAGCAGGGUUGAGGGCUCCCCCAUCCUCUCCGCCCUCUUGAGAGGGCCGGGGCUCCCUGCGAGGGCGGCAGGGCGCGGAAACGCCAGCGGAACUAACUGGAGACCGGCACCAUGUGGAAGUGAAGCGGCAGUGACUGCACUGGGAGCCCCCGCCACGGCCUCGCGGGGGCAGCGUCCGUUGCGCCCCGCACGCUCAGCUUCAGUCACACUUUGGAGGAGAUGACCAGCUCUCAGGACUCAGCCUUGCCCCGCCUCCCUGGCUGUCCUGUCCUCCUCGCUGGCAGAAGUGUUUAUGGACUGCUGCCCCCACGCUGUCCUGCCUGCCCUCCACUCCAACACCCUCCUGUGACUGUAACCCAGAUUUUAGGUUUUUGAAGGUUCUGAGAGCAAGCUUCCAUGACAGACAACACUGAUGAAUCCGCGGUAUAAAUAUCCAGAACCCAAUCCCUUCCAAGGAAACACGGUUGAGUGGGAAGCUGGACACGGUUUCUAUUGUGUUGGUUCUGUCUUCCUCCGGCUGUGUGCUUGGUCUUUCUGGGGCGGGCAGAGUUGCACAUUUCCAGUCCUUUCCUGUGCUAGCAACAGACUAAUUAUUCAUCUUCUCUUCAAUCCUUGCUGCUUCUUUAUCCCUUGUAUUGAUACAUGUUUGCCUUCACCCACUCAAGAAGGGAGAAAAAAUAAAUAAUCCGUCAUUUAGGUUUAUGCGAAAAGAGCUGAAAAACUUGUGAGGAAAAGGAAAUGCUUAAUUACUGUCUCCUUGUUCCUAGUGGGGAAGUGGAAUCUUUUAAAUAUCCAGUAUGUAUACCAUAUAUAUGUUCUCUGUAUGGUAAAGGCAGUCUUAAGACUUUUAAGAAAUUUUGUUACAAUGUAAUGACAUGGAGAUUAUUUUGCCCUUGAUCUUUUUGAAUUUUUUUAAUUCACUCAUCCUUCCAUUAG